rnacentral:rRNA from 1 species
UUGUCGUAUCCUACCACUCGACACACUCGCGAACGGUUGACCCCUGCCAUCUCGGAGGGGGGCGGGUUCUCCUCCUCGGGCUCCUGUCUCUCUUCGAGAUAUUUUCCCUGCCUUCGCCACGUUCGACCGGUGGGGAGCCAGCCUCCUAUCGAGAUCGGGCUGUCGACCGGCGGGACGAUGAAUCUUCCGGCGCGGCAUGCGUCAAGGAAAACGGAAGUGAAGGCCCGCGUCACCCAUCCGUGCGGUGGAUGCACGUGGUGCUCGACACCCAAUACGAAAUGAGUUUGAACGACUCCCGGCAACGGAUAUCUAGGCUCUCGCAUCGAUGAAGAACGUAGCGAAAUGCGAUACGUGGUGUGAAUUGCAGAAUCCCGUGAACCAUCGAAUCUUUGAACGCAAGUUGCGCCCGAGGCCUCUAGGUCGAGGGCACGCCUGCCUGGGCGUCACGCCCCGCGUCGCUCCCUGACCCCCCCUCACAGAGUGCGGGGGUGAGGGAUGCGGAGAUUGGCCCACCGUGCACGUGUGCGGCAGGCUGAAGAACUCGGCCCUCCUGCCGGGCGAUUAACGGCGAGUGGUGGACGAUGGUCAUCGUCGCCGUGCCCGCGCGCAAGGACGGGCCGACCAUGAGGAACCCAGUCAUCGGAGAGAACAAACGCCCAUAUCUUCUUAUGAUAGGGUGGUAUCUCUUGAUCGCGACCCCA